GAUGAACGCUAGCGGCAGGCCUAACACAUGCAAGUCGAGGGAGAAGCCCUUUCGGGGGCAGAAACCGGCGCACGGGUGCGUAACGCGUAUGCAACCUACCUUUCACAGGGGGAUAGCCCGAAGAAAUUUGGAUUAAUACCCCAUAAUAUUAUUGGAUGGCAUCAUUUGAUAAUUAAAACUGCGGUGGUGAAAGAUGGGCAUGCGUCCUAUUAGCUAGUUGGAGUGGUAACGGCACCCCAAGGCUACGAUAGGUAGGGGUCCUGAGAGGGAGAUCCCCCACACUGGUACCGAGACAGGGACCAGACUCCUACGGGAGGCAGCAGUGAGGAAUAUUGGUCAAUGGUCGGAAGACUGAACCAGCCAUGCCGCGUGCAGGAAGAAUGCCUUAUGGGUUGUAAACUGCUUUUAUAUGGGAAGAAUAAGGUGUACGUGUACAUUGAUGACGGUACCAGAUGAAUAAGCAUCGGCUAACUCCGUG
rnacentral:rRNA from 1 species